rnacentral:rRNA from 1 species
CCUACGGGAGGCAGCAGUGGGGAAUAUUGGGCAAUGGGCGCAAGCCUGACCCAGCAAUGCCGCGUGAAGGAAGAAGGCUUUCGGGUUUUAAACUUCUUUGACAGGGGAAGAGCAGAAGACGGUACCCUGAAAACACGCCACGGCUACCUACGUGCCAGCCGCCGCGGUCAUACGGAGGUGGCACGCGUUUGCCGGAUUUACUGGGUGUAAAGGGAGCGUAGACGGUGCAGGAUGUCUGCUGUGAAAUGUCGGGGCACAACCCCGGGACUGCAUUGGAAACCGUUGACCUGGAGUACAGGAGAGGUAAGCGGAAGGCGUAGUGUAGCGGUGAAAUGCGUAGAUAUUAGGCGGAACACC